rnacentral:sRNA from 1 species
GUAUUUCCGCCGGCGCGAAACGAGCGUAGCUUCCUUGUCGUGUGGCCUCAGUCCUUCGCCGUCCCUCGCCGUCCUUCGCCAUCGCACGCCACCGCACCCCAUCUCUCGAAAUCUGCAGACAUCUUGAUUUUUCCCACGCUGUCUGUCAGGUCUCCGCCGCCACUCGACGCCAGGGCGCCGGGUGAGUCCACAGCAGGGCGCAUGGUCGGCUCCACUCUCACCAUCGGGGGAAACUGAGGCCCCGGGGAAGGCGGCCAGAGAGGUCAGGCCCUGUCCUUGGUGCAGUGUCUCGUCCUCUUUGCCGGAGUGAGCCCCCCAGGAUUCGCGUGUCCUCGGGAAAGACACUGGCGGGCCUUGUGGGCUGUGCUGCACCUCGGACGGCUUCGCACCAGCCAGCGCCCUCUCUCUCCUGCAGCACUCUGAUCUGCACCCCCUGAGGGGCUUCCACUGUCCGCGGGGUGAGAAUGCCCCUGGGAGUGUCACAUGACUGCCGCCCCAUGUGUGUGAGAGGCGUCCUCUGGGAGAGCAUGGAUCCUGAGGUCCCAGGAUUGUCAGCUGACCUCUGUCCUGUGUGCCCAGUGGCCCCAGGUGACGUGUCUUCAAGAAGAGGCUGAGCUGCGGUGCUUGUAAGAGUCAUGUGCUGUUCCUGGGGCUUGGAUGAUGUAGGGGAAGCAAGGUGAAAGUGGUAUCCCGUGGUUCCACGUUCUGUCCUGCUGUGGGGCUGUCCCUCACAUGCUUUCAGUGGCUGUUGCAGAGGAAGAGCCUCCGGAAAUCUGCGUGGGUCUCAGCCUUAGAUCCAAGGACAGUCCAAGGAAGUCCUAAGACCAUGGAGUUGGUGAUCUAGGAUCUGGGUUUGCUGAUAUUUCUCACCGUGAAUCUCUUGGUGGUGUUUGUGGGCACGAGAGGGGCAGAGAAUGGAGAGUGAGGCUACCACAUGAAGCGUCACCAGAGCUGCUCCCUGCUGCCUGCUCAGAGCACCCCGGAUCCACUGUUCAAUCUGCACAAGAUUCGGGGUCCAGACAUGGGAGACUUCAGCUGCCUCAGAGGACCGUGGACAGGGAAGGCCAGCCUCGCAUCCCUCUGUCCAUGCCUGGAAUGACUUUAAUAACCAAGAGUUUUAUUUUUGAAUUUGUAGCUGUCGUUCACUUUUUACCCACCCAUUCAAUAAACCUUACAGAAUUGCUCCA